CCUUCCCUCCCGGCUCUCAGAGGCAAUGGUUAGAUUCAGACGCUGCUGUCUUACCAAACCCUUCUCCCCACUAGCUCCUGCUCCAUCUUCCUCCCAACACACCAACGGUGGCUUGUCUCACGGCUGCACGUCUGUCCAGCGUCUGCUGUCAUCAGAGUUGACUCAACUUUCCCCCCAAACUCCGCGCUCCACCGUUGCCAUGGCAGCACUGAACCCACACGGAGGGAAAUGACAGCAGCUAUUUUUAUUGCUGCGUGGCAGCAUUGCCUUCCCCUCAGUCUGGAGCCAGUAAGAGCUUGGAGCACGUCUGAGGUUUGGGUGCCAGACGCUCGGCUAACUGCUCCACCACGUACGCGUGAUGCUCAUUAGACGUAACAUCAUCAUCCCCAUGGUGAGACUCGUCACACGGAUCCACAUCAGGUUAGCCUCACUUUGCUCACAGUCAAGACGACGCGUCUCUUGCUCAAACUCUCUCAUGCUUUUAUCUUGAAAGGGAGUUUUCAGCAGAGGAAGCGUGUGGAGCUUGUUGUCCAGGAAAAGCUUUGAUUCACUGAAAUGACUCACGGCUCACCAUCAUUCUGAUUCAUCUGUUUGAAUCCCCUUUGGUUUCUUGCGAGGGACAGCGAUGGGCGGGGCUUACCAGAUGCAGGCCAGCCAGUGGGCGGCCAGGCCGAACACACAGACCAGCAGCACCAGCACCGCCGCUCCGUACUCAAUGUAGUGAUCCAGUUUCCGAGCCACCCGGCCCAGACGCAGGAGUCGGACCACCUUCAGGGAGCUGAAGAGGCUGCUGAUGCCCUGAGGAGAGAGAGAGAGAGAGCAGUCACACGACCAUCAGAUCCAUCAGCCCUCACACGUUCGUGUGGAGGUCUGUCUCUUCCCAGGUCACAAACCCGCCAUCGCCUCUGCUGUUAUGGCAGAGAGCAGAGGAAGGUCCACGUCACAAACCAGACCCUCUUCUGUCUACAUCCAGUCCAGGAGCUGAGGACCAGCUCAGCUCUCGCUCAGCUCCUAACGUUGGUGACAGGAAAUGCACUGGUGCUCCCUGAUCCAGAGCCAAAGACGCUGAGAGGGAACUGUGUGGGGCCGCCUCGGAGGGAAGCCUGAGACGGGCCGGUCUUCAGAGGCCCAACAUCAGAGGUCUCCUGGUCCUGCCAUGACACGGGGUCACAGGUUCAAGCCUGUGCUUGGAGCGAGAGUCUGGGACACCCUGGAGCUUCAGCUUCAGACCAGGACUCCCACACCUGCAGGCUCCAGCGAAGCCUGGUUGGAUGGGCUUCCGCCGGGAUUCAAACCCAGGACCUUCAUGCUGCGAGGCUGCAGCGCUACCCACUGCUCCUCCAAGCUGUGAGCUCGGGGGGGCACGACUCCAGUGGAGAGAAGGCUUCACAGAAGAGGAGGUUGAGGAUGUUCAUUAUCCACCCGGCCUCUGCUGAUCUGUUGCUGGGUCAUAACAAGGUUUAUUACACGUCAUAAGGUGUAGGUGUAGGUCAUAAGUUGGAAGGAAUGAUCCCACCUGCGCUCACUUUAAAAUCCCCCGUCUCUAUAACCAGAUGAAGUCAGAAGCUUCUUCUUCUGCGAGGCCUCGCCAGCGCAUCAUGACGUGUCAUGGAGGCACUCCAGAUGAGAGCACUCGGCUGGGUGGGACUCACUGCCCGAGUGUCUCCAGCCCAGCAGCAGCAGCAGGUGUCACAUGACAGCAGCUGCUGAAGCGGUGAAAGACUAGACCCAGUCAGAACUGCAGGAGCAGCGUUUGGACCUGCUGACCAACCAGCGCUACUUUUCCUGAACAGGUCCGUCACACCUUUGAAUGGCGCUGCCUCCGCGCACACGCUAACACACACACACGCGCUGACACACACACACACUAACACACACACACGCUGACACACACACACAGACACACACACGCUGACACACACACACACACACACACACACAGACACACACACACACUAACACACACACACAUGCACACACACACUAACACACACACAUGCACACACACUGACAUGCACACACACUAACACACACACACGCUGACACACACACGCUGACACACACACAGACACACACACACAGACACUAACACACACACGCUGACACACACACACACUGACACGCACACACACACAGACACACACACACACAGACACACACACGCUAACACACAGACACACACACACACGCUGACACACACACACACUGACACACACACGCACACACACUGACACGCACACACACUAACACACACACACAUGCUGACACACACACAGACACGCACACACACACACGCUGACACACACACACCCAGGCUUCGGUGUGAUAGCUGCACUGCUUAACGCCAACACAGCAUUUUUACAGUCAGAGCCGUGCACACACUCCGGGGGGAGACGUGGCACGGUGAGGCUCACACACGCGCGUGUGCGAUGCAUCAAUGUAAUGAAAGUGCAGGAGCCAGAGGCUCCAUUUAAUCAAUGUGCCAAGUGUGUGUGUGUGUGAUUGUGUGUGUGAGUGUGUGAGGUUGUGUUUGCAGGCAGGAACAUGGAUCACGUCCAACAACAUGCUGCGCCGUCGAGCGCCGUGUUUCCGCUCCCCACUUAUCGAUACCUGCGUCCUGCUCAGGAAAUUAGCAUGGAGACCUUCUGUCCACCGAUUUAGAGUUUGUUGUUUGUUUACCAAGACGUGACGCCAGCAGCAGUUUGUUCCUGACUUUCCUCAAGGUGAAGUGAGUCUGACGGCAGUGUGGGGGCGGAGCCACAAGUGUGGAGAGGCGGGGACACGCAUCAAUUCACCUGCGGAUGUUUUCAGACGAAUCUGAGCACAAAGUCAGGGAAGCAGCACGAGACAGCACUCCAAACUACAGAAACUCCUCUCUAAAUCCAAACUAUUGUUUGUGUUUGUUUGGUUUACCUGCUCGCCGUGACAGAAAUGAGCGUUUAAAAAUGUCAUUUUUCAGCCUGAUCGGCCCCAAUUUCUUCACGAGUUCAGCUUAAACAAAGAAUGCGUAGAAAGAGAAACAGUAAACACUUUGGCCAGAUUCGUCCGCAGCUGUUUUCUAUUGAAAAGUGACUGGUCUGUGGAGGAGGAGCUCAACGCUUGGUCUGAUCGCAGCCCUGUUGGCAAAUCCACGAGAAUGUUGGGACUAUCCGAGCACAUGCAGCAGGAACAGGACCGUCACAGUCACGGGUGCAUUAGCCACGGCUAUGGUUAGCGACUGAGCGUGUUCUCCAGACGGUGCACACCUGAGUCAGGUGUCCGCCCUGCCGCCAGCCGCUGGUGGUUUGGGGGCAUCAGCCCUGUGUUGGUUCAGUGCCUUGAAAGUGUUGCAACGACGUGGCGGUCCUGUGAUGGCUAAUUAUAGCGCCGUUUCAAACGAGCACAAUCUGCUGAUGCAAAACAACUCCAGACCAAACAGCGCCAGCAGCUGAUCCGCGCCACAAACUUAGAACAACCACUGCUUUAGCUCUGGUGUUGCCAUGGUGACGGCUCCUGCUCAACAUCAUCCCAGCCCAAAGAUGCCGACACCUGAAGCGGCUGCAGAUCUGAAAACAAUCCUGGUUCGGACCCACUCCACCCGCUCUCUGCACAGGGACCCCUCCUGGGUCACACAUCAAUCCCGACGUGCAGGGAGAACAAGUGGGUGGAGCUUUCUCUGCUCCCCCUGCGUCAGCUGUGUGUGUGUGUGUGUUGGCUGGCUGUCCAGGGUGUCCCACCCCUCCCCCCUGCUCGAGUAGUCUGACUCGCUUCCACUGAAUUCCUGAUCAUGGAGGAGCAGCAGGCAGCAGAAGACGAGUCCAAUCUUUCCUGAGCAGGACCACAGAGCUGGUACCGAGCUUCAGAACCACACGUGCUUCAUUUCGCCGCUGCUCCGGCUCACACUCACAAAUCGAUGAUAUACUGGCGGACAAAUGAGCCGGGUCAGCGGGCUGGCCACUGUACCGCUGGCUGUCUCUCCUUGGUCGACUCUGAAGCACCUGUUUCACCAGCCAAGGCGGAGAAGUUCCCCUCCUCCGCCUCCAAUCCCACACACACACCAGCUCAGAUGCGACCAUCGUCCAGGAGAGCAAGCAGCUGGGUGGACCUCAGCUGGAGCCACUCACCUCGUCCACGUUUUCGAAGGCGUUGAUGACAUCAUAGGGCAGGCAGGACAGCAGGUCGAUGACAAACCAGGUCUUCAGGUAGUUCAUCCGGAUCAGCUUGGGGUCGGAGAUGACCUCGCCCGCCGGGCCCACGAAGGUGGUGUGGAAGUUGAGAACGAUGUCCACCAGGAAGAUGACGUCCACGAUGCUGUCCACCACCAGCCACGUCACGUUGUUCUGCUUGGUCUUGAAGGAGACGUUGUAGGGGACCAUGAUGGCCGUGUAGAAGGUGAGGAUGAGGAUGACCCAGUCCCACGUGGUCUUGAAGAGGCAGUAGUGCAGGAUGAUGUGGGGUGGGGUCUUUGGGGUCUCCUGCUUGUACUGAGGUAGGAUGUCUGAGCCCAGCUGCAGGACCUGCCGGGAGACAGUGGCUCAGUGGACUCGACACCAUGGCCCCGGCCGGACCGCGUGACAGGGAGAGAGAACCGGAACCUCUGUCGUAAUGUUAGUGAUGACUGAGAACUUCCUCAAAACACUGUAUCAGAUCAGCUUUGUCCAGGACCCCCGUUCUAACCAGUCCCCAGCAGGCAGUGGAGACCUCAAGAGGAGGCUCUGCCCUCCUUCUUGGUGUCAGGGUCCAGGUCGCUCUGCAGGCUGGACAGAGUGAGGAGGAGGUUCUCUCGUGUCUUCGCAGAGCGCUCGACACAUGGGUCCUCCGAGCUCCCCAUCCAUC